rnacentral:sRNA from 1 species
UUGACAGAUCUUGUUUCCUCCCAUUAUAUGGAAUAGAAUCUUUCCAAUUUCAGACCUUGGAGGUCAGAAGUGGGUUGUGGCAAUGGGUUCCCUGAGUUUCUUCCUUCUAAGGCUAAAGAACGCGUCCUUCGUCUCCUCCUGUUCCCCAGUUAGGCAUCUUGAUCUGGUAUUCAGCAUCCUUCCUUCCCUGAUGCUAAAUCCUCUUUCCCAGAGACAGGAGCACCAGAAACCCCAGCCUCUGUUGUUGAUUGUCCCACUGUUGUGUGGCCGCUCCGUCUUCCAUUCACCCUUCCUUCUCUGUUGGAUUCUACCUCCCUUCCCUAAUUCCGAGAUUCCUAUGCCAGAUUCCUCAUUUCCUUCUGUCUGUAUUGUUAUUCAUCCAACUCACAGGGAGUAAGGGUCACAUCCAGGUACACCGAGGCACUGAUGUCCACGAAGGAUGAGGUCGGCCCUUAGAAACAAUCAUCGUCCCCCUAGCAAUGGGAAUGAGUGUAAUUCCUACGAUGAAAUCGCCUGCGCUUAACUUCGCUAUAUCCAGAUUCCUGCCACUCACUGCUGGUGUGACUGUGGGCUACUGACUUCAGUUCUCUCGGGAUGCUGUAGAUCAUCCAUCCAUCCAUCCACUCAAGACAUAAUCUCUGAAACAUAAAGAAUUAAUUGAUGGUACUGUAACAUGGAUCCCGCUCUCCCAUGUGCUUCUUCGAACUAGAUGCUGGCUCCAACUCCCGGAGUUUGGCUGAUAUGUGACACCUGGCUCUCUGGAGGUGCCAUGGAAGGUGACCUUCUCAGGCUCCGCCUACUACCCACCUGUCUUCUGCCGUCAUCUCUAUCCUCCUUCCUGCCCUCUCCUGUGAGCAAAGCAUGCACAGAAAUGCACAUUCAACAACAGGACAAGUAAGAACGUGGCAGCGACUCAGGGAAGGAAGUAGCUACUGACUCCAUGUGGAAGACGUAGACCACCAGAAAAACACAUAAAAGAAAUAAGGACUUCACAGGAUCUUCCUCAAUGUCCUCCUCCCCGCUAAAUUGCAUUUACCAGAAACAAACAUUGCAUUUGCAAGCCAGAAUUGACCAAAAAUAUAUGUA